GGGUUGUGAGGUUAAGCGACUAAGCGUACACGGUGGAUGCCCUGGCAGUCAGAGGCGAUGAAGGGCGUGCUAAUCUGCGAUAAGCGCCGGUAAGGUGAUAUGAACCGUUAUAACCGGCGAUACCCGAAUGGGGAAACCCAGUGUGAUUCGUCACACUAUCAUUAACUGAAUCCAUAGGUUAAUGAGGCGAACCGGGGGAACUGAAACAUCUAAGUACCCCGAGGAAAAGAAAUCAACCGAGAUUCCCCCAGUAGCGGCGAGCGAACGGGGAGGAGCCCAGAGCCUGAAUCAGCAUGUGUGUUAGUGGAAGCGUCUGGAAAGGCGCGCGAUACAGGGUGACAGCCCCGUACACAAAAGCGCAUGUGCUGUGAGCUCGAUGAGUAGGGCGGGACACGUGGUAUCCUGUCUGAAUAUGGGGGGACCAUCCUCCAAGGCUAAAUACUCCUGACUGACCGAUAGUGAACCAGUACCGUGAGGGAAAGGCGAAAAGAACCCCGGCGAGGGGAGUGAAAAAGAACCUGAAACCGUGUACGUACAAGCAGUGGGAGCCCCACCACUAAGCCAGUGGUGAACUCCACAUCCGCAUCCUUUGCUGAGGAUACGGUUAACGGAGCGAAAGCGACGUUCAACCGCAAAACAAGCAGAGGGGGCUUAGUGGUGGGGUGACUGCGUACCUUUUGUAUAAUGGGUCAGCGACUUAUAUUCUGUAGCAAGGUUAACCGUAUAGGGGAGCCGGAGGGAAACCGAGUCUUAAUUGGGCGUUAAGUUGCAGGGUAUAGACCCGAAACCCGGUGAUCUAGCCAUGGGCAGGUUGAAGGUUGGGUAACACUAACUGGAGGACCGAACCGACUAAUGUUGAAAAAUUAGCGGAUGACCUGUGGCUGGGGGUGAAAGGCCAAUCAAACCGGGAGAUAGCUGGUUCUCCCCGAAAGCUAUUUAGGUAGCGCCUCGUGAAUUCAUCUCCGGGGGUAGAGCACUGUUUCGGCUAGGGGGCCAUCCCGGCUUACCAACCCGAUGCAAACUGCGAAUACCGGAGAAUGUUAUCACGGGAGACACACGGCGGGUGCUAACGUCCGUCGUGAAGAGGGAAACAACCCAGACCGCCAGCUAAGGUCCCAAAGUCAUGGUUAAGUGGGAAACGAUGUGGGAAGGCCCAGACAGCCAGGAUGUUGGCUUAGAAGCAGCCAUCAUUUAAAGAAAGCGUAAUAGCUCACUGGUCGAGUCGGCCUGCGCGGAAGAUGUAACGGGGCUAAACCAUGCACCGAAGCUGCGGCAGCGAACGUAUCACCCAAGACAACUUUACGGAGUUGACGAUUGACGGAGCGAAGCGACGUCAAAGCGUUCAUUAAAGUCGAGUUGGCUUAGGGAUACGUUCGUUGGGUAGGGGAGCGUUCUGUAAGCCUGUGAAGGUGUGUCGUGAGGCAUGCUGGAGGUAUCAGAAGUGCGAAUGCUGACAUAAGUAACGAUAAAGCGGGUGAAAAGCCCGCUCGCCGGAAGACCAAGGGUUCCUGUCCAACGUUAAUCGGGGCAGGGUGAGUCGACCCCUAAGGCGAGGCCGAAAGGCGUAGUCGAUGGGAAACGGGUUAAUAUUCCCGUACUUGGUGUUACUGCGAAGGGGGGACGGAGAAGGCUAUGUUGGCCGGGCGACGGUUGUCCCGGUUUAAGCGUGUAGGUGUGUGUUCCAGGUAAAUCCGGUUCACUUUAACACUGAGGCGUGACGACGAGGCACUACGGUGCUGAAGCAACAAAUGCCCUGCUUCCAGGAAAAGCCUCUAAGCAUCAGGUAACAUCAAAUCGUACCCCAAACCGACACAGGUGGUCAGGUAGAGAAUACCAAGGCGCUUGAGAGAACUCGGGUGAAGGAACUAGGCAAAAUGGUGCCGUAACUUCGGGAGAAGGCACGCUGACACGUAGGUGAAGUGAUUUACUCAUGGAGCUGAAGUCAGUCGAAGAUACCAGCUGGCUGCAACUGUUUAUUAAAAACACAGCACUGUGCAAACACGAAAGUGGACGUAUACGGUGUGACGCCUGCCCGGUGCCGGAAGGUUAAUUGAUGGGGUCAGCGCAAGCGAAGCUCCUGAUCGAAGCCCCGGUAAACGGCGGCCGUAACUAUAACGGUCCUAAGGUAGCGAAAUUCCUUGUCGGGUAAGUUCCGACCUGCACGAAUGGCGUAAUGAUGGCCAGGCUGUCUCCACCCGAGACUCAGUGAAAUUGAACUCGCUGUGAAGAUGCAGUGUACCCGCGGCAAGACGGAAAGACCCCGUGAACCUUUACUAUAGCUUGACACUGAACAUUGAGCCUUGAUGUGUAGGAUAGGUGGGAGGCUUUGAAGUGUGGACGCCAGUCUGCAUGGAGCCGACCUUGAAAUACCACCCUUUAAUGUUUGAUGUUCUAACGUGGACCCGUUACCCGGGUUGCGGACAGUGUCUGGUGGGUAGUUUGACUGGGGCGGUCUCCUCCUAAAGAGUAACGGAGGAGCACGAAGGUUGGCUAAUCCUGGUCGGACAUCAGGAGGUUAGUGCAAUGGCAUAAGCCAGCUUGACUGCGAGCGUGACGGCGCGAGCAGGUGCGAAAGCAGGUCAUAGUGAUCCGGUGGUUCUGAAUGGAAGGGCCAUCGCUCAACGGAUAAAAGGUACUCCGGGGAUAACAGGCUGAUACCGCCCAAGAGUUCAUAUCGACGGCGGUGUUUGGCACCUCGAUGUCGGCUCAUCACAUCCUGGGGCUGAAGUAGGUCCCAAGGGUAUGGCUGUUCGCCAUUUAAAGUGGUACGCGAGCUGGGUUUAGAACGUCGUGAGACAGUUCGGUCCCUAUCUGCCGUGGGCGCUGGAGAACUGAGGGGGGCUGCUCCUAGUACGAGAGGACCGGAGUGGACGCAUCACUGGUGUUCGGGUUGUCAUGCCAAUGGCACUGCCCGGUAGCUAAAUGCGGAAGAGAUAAGUGCUGAAAGCAUCUAAGCACGAAACUUGCCCCGAGAUGAGUUCUCCCUGAGACUUAGAGUCUCCUGAAGGAACGUUGAAGACGACGACGUUGAUAGGCCGGGUGUGUAAGCGCAGCGAUGCGUUGAGCUAACCGGUACUAAUGAACCGUGAGGCUUAACCUUACAACGCCGAAG
rnacentral:rRNA from 1 species